UUCGGGUUGAAAGGCUUCUUGGGUACUGGGUUGGUGGAGAAGGUGAUAGUUGUUUUGAGUAGCUUGGCGGCGAUUGAGAUAGGGCAAGAGGCAAUCAUUGAAGAAAAGGGGAUCGCGGCGUUCGUGGAGGCGAUUGAGGAUGAGAGCAACAAAGUGAAGGAGCUUGCAGUAUGUAAUUGCUUACUUCGUUUGAUAUUUUUUUCUUUUCAGGCUGAAAGGCUUCUUUGGUACUUAUCAAGAGAAUAAGCUUCUUCUUCAAGUCCAUAAAUGGGGGAUAUAUAUUAUAGAUGAUUUAUUUGUGUACUAUGCUUUUGGGAUGGCUUGAUGUUGGCUGUAUAUAACAAGUGUUUCUUGGACUUGUACAGAGUGAGUGGUUGAGUAAUUUGAGAAUUUUAAGGUUAAUUAUUUUCAUCGGCUCAUUUUCCCACCUUAACUAUUAAAUUUAAAUUUCUUGAAUAUCUAUGUUUGUAUCUAAUAAAUUAUA
rnacentral:lncRNA from 1 species